rnacentral:misc_RNA from 1 species
CGCACAUUGCGCCCUUUGGCAUUCCGAAGGGCAUGCCCGUUCGAGCGUCAUUUCACCAAUCAAGCCUGGCUUGGUGUUGGGCCCCGGGUGUGACCCGGACCCCAAUGUCCCGCCGGCCGGAUGACCCGGAUCCCAGCGUUAGGGCACAUUGCAGUUCCGCUGGUGGAGACGGGUCGGCCGCGCCGUCAAUAAUCACAACGAAAGGUUGACCUCGGAUCGGGUAGGGAUACCCGCUGAACUUAA